GACGAACGCUGGCGGCGUGCUUAACACAUGCAAGUCGAACGGAAAGGCCCUUCGGGGUACUCGAGUGGCGAACGGCUGAGUAACACGUGGGUGAUCUGCCCUGCACUUUGGGAUAAGCCUGGGAAACUGGGUCUAAUACCGAAUAGGACCACGCGCUUCAUGGUGUGUGGUGGAAAGCUUUUGCGGUGUGGGAUGGGCCCGCGGCCUAUCAGCUUGUUGGUGGGGUAAUGGCCUACCAAGGCGACGACGGGUAGCCGGCCUGAGAGGGUGACCGGCCACACUGGGACUGAGAUACGGCCCAGACUCCUACGGGAGGCAGCAGUGGGGAAUAUUGCACAAUGGGCGCAAGCCUGAUGCAGCGACGCCGCGUGAGGGAUGACGGCCUUCGGGUUGUAAACCUCUUUCAAUAGGGACGAAGCGCAAGUGACGGUACCUAUAGAAGAAGCACCGGCCAACUACGUG
rnacentral:rRNA from 1 species